UACGUAGGGUGCGAGCGUUAAUCGGAAUUACUGGGCGUAAAGUGUGCGCAGGUGGCCGCGCAUGUCGAGUGUGAAAUCCCCGGCUUAACUUGGGAAUUGCGCUCGAAACUACGUGGCUCGAGUGUGGCAGAGGAAGGUGGAAUUCCACGUGUAGCGGUGAAAUCGCGUAGAUAAUCUGGGAGGAACACCGGUGGCCGAAGGGCACGGCCGAUCCUAGGACCGGCGAAAGCAACCCUUGGGACCAAAC
rnacentral:rRNA from 1 species